rnacentral:rRNA from 1 species
CCUACGGGAGGCAGCAGUGAGGAAUAUUGGUCAAUGGCCGGAAGGCUGAACCAGCCAUGCCGCGUGAAGGUCAGUGCCCUAUGGGCGUUAAACUUCUUUUGUGCGGGAGCAAUAAUGGUCACGUGUGGCCAGACGAGAGUACCGUACGAAUAAGCAUCGGCUAACUCCGUGCCAGCAGCCGCGGUAAUACGGGGGAUGCAAGCGUUAUCCGGAUUUAUUGGGUUUAAAGGGUGCGUAGGCGGAUUUUUAAGUCAGCGGUAAAAUGUCCGGGCUCAACCCGGGCCGGCCGUUGAAACUGGGGAUCUUGAGUGGGCGAGAAGUAUGCGGAAUGCGUGGUGUAGCGGUGAAAUGCAUAGAUAUCACGCAGAACUCCGAUUGCGAAGGCAGCAUACCGGCGCCCGACUGACGCUGAGGCACGAAAGCGUGGGGAUCGAACAGGAUUAGAUACCCCAGUAGUC